rnacentral:ncRNA from 2 species
GCCUUAUCAAGAGUGGUGGAGGGAAUGGGCCCUGUGAAACCCGGCAACCGGUAACUGAAAUUGUAAAGUUACACGGUGCUAAGUCCCACAGAAUGUAGAUUCUGAAAGAUGAGGU